rnacentral:rRNA from 1 species
UCGUACGGCGAUCUUCGGAUCGUACGUGGCGGACGGGCGAGUAACGCGUGGGAACCUACCCGGGAGUGGGGGAUAACCACUGGAAACGGUGGCUAAUACCGCAUAAUCCGGCCGAUGGCCGGGAAAGCCGUAAGGCGCUCUUGGAGGGGCCCGCGUCCAAUUAGCUGGUUGGUGGGGUAACGGCCUACCAAGGCGACGAUUGGUAGCUGGUCUGAGAGGAUGAUCAGCCGCACUGGGACUGAGACACGGCCCAGACGCCUACGGGCGGCAGCAGUGGGGAAUAUUGGACAAUGGGGGAAACCCUGAUCCAGCCAUGCCGCGUGGGUGAAGAAGGCCCUAGGGUCGUAAAGCCCUUUCGGCGGGGAAGAUGAUGACGGUACCCGCAGAAGAAGCCCCGGCUAACUCCGUGCCAGCAGCCGCGGUAAGACGGAGGGGGCUAGCGUUGUUCGGAAUUACUGGGCGUAAAGGGUGCGUAGGCGGCCUAUCAAGUCAGGGGUUGAAAGGCCUGGGUUCAACCUGGGAAACGGCCCUUGAAACUGGUAGGCUUG